rnacentral:rRNA from 1 species
ACGGCCUUCGGGUUGUAAACCUCUUUCAGUAGGGAAGAAGCGAAAGUGACGGUACCUGCAGAAGAAGCGCCGGCUAACUACGUGCCAGCAGCCGCGGUAAUACGUAGGGCGCAAGCGUUAUCCGGAAUUAUUGGGCGUAAAGAGCUCGUAGGCGGUUUGUCGCGUCUGCCGUGAAAGUCCGGGGCUCAACUCCGGAUCUGCGGUGGGUACGGGCAGACUAGAGUGAUGUAGGGGAGACUGGAAUUCCUGGUGUAGCGGUGAAAUGCGCAGAUAUCAGGAGGAACACCGAUGGCGAAGGCAGGUCUCUGGGCAUUAACUGACGCUGAGGAGCGAAAGCAUGGGGAGCGAACAGGAUUAGAUACCCUGGUAGUCCAUGCCGUAAACGUUGGGCACUAGGUGUGGGGGACAUUCCACGUUUUCCGCGCCGUAGCUAACGCAUUAAGUGCCCCGCCUGGGGAGUACGGCCGCAAGGCUAAAACUCAAAGGAAUUGACGGGGGCCCGCACAAGCGGCGGAGCAUGCGGAUUAAUUCGAUGCAACGCGAAGAACCUUACCAAGGCUUGACAUGAACCGGUAACGCCUGGAGACAGGUGCCCCGCUUGCGGUCGGUUUACAGGUGGUGCAUGGUUGUCGUCAGCUCGUGUCGUGAGAUGUUGGGUUAAGUCCCGCAACGAGCGCAACCCUCGUUCUAUGUUGCCAGCACGUG